rnacentral:rRNA from 1 species
AACGCGAAGAACCUUACCUGGGUUUGACAUCCCAUGAAAAGUGCAGAGAUGCAUAAUAGCCGCAAGGCACAUGGAGACAGGUGCUGCAUGGCUGUCGUCAGCUCGUGUCGUGAGAUGUUGGGUUAAGUCCCGCAACGAGCGCAACCCUUAUCGUUAGUUGCCAGCGAGUCAAGUCGGGCACUCUAGCGAAACCGCCCCGGAUAACGGGGAGGAAGGUGGGGAUGACGUCAAGUCCUCAUGGCCUUUAUGUCCAGGGCUACACACGUGCUACAAUGGCCGGUACAAACCGUCGCAAACCUGCGAAGGGGAGCUAAUCGGAAAAAGCCGGCCUCAGUUCGGAUUGGAGUCUGCAACCCGACUCCAUGAAGCUGGAAUCGCUAGUAAUCGCGGAUCAGCACGCCGCGGUGAAUACGUUCCCGGGCCUUGUACACACCGAGACGAC